GAUGAACGCUAGCGGCAGGCUUAAUACAUGCAAGUCGAGGGGCAUCAAGGUACACGAAAGUGUAUUGUUGGCGACCGGCGGACGGGUGAGUAAUAGGUAGGUAACCUACCUCAUACUGAGGCAUAGCUGGGAGAAAUUCCAGGUAAUUCCUCAUGAGGUUAUAUGACACAUGUGAUAUAAUCAAAGGUAUCGCAAGGUACUGGUAUGAGAUGGGCUUACUGACCAUUAGCUAGUUGGUGAGAUAAGAGCUCACCAAGGCGAAGAUGGUUAGGGGUUUUGAGAGAGAGAUCCCCCACAUUGGAACUGAGAUACGGUCCAGACUCCUACGGGAGGCGGCAGUAGGGAAUAUUGGGCAAUGGGCGGAAGCCUGACCCAGCCAUGCCGCGUGAAGGAAGACGGCCUUAUGGGUUGUAAACUUCUUUACUAUGCGACUAACUAGAUUUACGAGAUAAUUCUAUAGAAUGUAGCAUAGCAAAAGCACGGCUAACG
rnacentral:rRNA from 1 species